UUGUGUGCACAUUUUGACCUCCUAAUGAGAUGGUGUAAAAGAAAUAAGUUGAUGUGUUUUUUGAGUUUUGAAUGACUGAGUCCCAUGCUGCUUAGGCGGGGCUGGGCUUUUCUUACCGUCCGCUCACCCUGUUAGACCUGUGCAUCCCUUAGUCAUCUCCCUAUUAAUCUGCCUCUAGUGGUUCCUCGUUAGAACAGUUUAUGAUAUAUAAAGAUUAGGGGCUUGGGGGUUUUAUUGAGACAGGGUCUUGCCAUGUUGCCCAGGCUGGAGACUGGGGAGUUUUGACUGAAAGAAUUAGAUGAUCUUCUCAGUGGCUGUUGCUGGCCGUGAAUUGCUUAAACAUACAUAAAUCUUCAUAAUAAAGUUGUUCUGAUUCUUCAUUUAAAACUUCCUGGUAUAGUUUCUGUAAUUAGUUGUAAUAAGAUUUUAAAGAUCCUGUAAUCCCAGCUGCUUAGAAGGCUGAGACAGGAGGAUCACUUUAGCCCAGGAGUUACAGACCAGCCUGGGCAACAUACUGAGACCCUAUCUCUUUAAAGAAAAAUAACCUGUAAAUGUACCUGUGUAGUUUUCUGAGGUACUUCUAAACACUUCAGUGUUAAUACAUUUUCUUUUAUUUGCUUCAGACUAGGAUGAAAUACAGGGAGAAGAUGGUUCAUUUUAGGAUUCUGAUAAUUAGAAGCUUUUAUUUUCUAAACUGGGGUGCCUAGUUGAAGUGGACCUCCUAAGCCUCCUUUGCCUCUCUGUGGCCUUGCUGUUGUGCUGAAUACAUCCUGUGUCACUAGUUACUCUUUGUCUCUAAAAGGGCUCUUUUGAGGAGAGCUCUUACUCACUAGUCAGCGGGUCUGGCUUAUCCUUUGUACUUGGGAGGACUUUUAGUUUUCCUCUGGUUGACUUUGUGUUAUGAAAAUUUUGGCCUAUCAAAGUACAUUUAUUAAACAAUAAUUUUUCCCAUUGUUACUCAUCAAAA